rnacentral:rRNA from 1 species
UUAUUGGGCGUAAAGCGUCGCAGGCGGCCUUUCAAGUCUGCUGUUAAAGCGUGGAGCUUAACUCCAUUAUGGCAGUGGAAACUGAUCGGCUUGAGUAUGGUAGGGGCAGAGGGAAUUCCCGGUGUAGCGGUGAAAUGCGUAGAUUAUCGGGAAGAACACCAGUGGCGAAGGCGCUCUGCUGGGCCAUUACUGACGCUCAUGGACGAAAGCCAGGGGAGCGAAAGGGAUUAGAUACCCCUGUAGUCCUGGCCGUAAACGAUGAACACUAGGUGUCGGGGGAAUCGACCCCUUCGGUGUCGUAGCUAACGCGUUAAGUGUUCCGCCUGGGGAGUACGCACGCAAGUGUGAAACUCAAAGUAAUUGACGGGGGCCCGCACAAGCGGUGGAGCAUGUGGUUUAAUUCGAUGCAACGCGAAGAACCUUACCUACACUUGACAUCAUCAGAACUUGUUAGAGAUAACUCGGUGCCUUCGGGAACUGAUAGACAGGUGCUGCAUGGUU